CAGCCGUAAACUAUGCGCGUUAGGUGUAUCGGUGACCACGAGCUACCGAGGUGCCGAAGGGAAACCGUGAAACGUGCCGCCUGGGAAGUACGGUCGCAAGGCUGAAACUUAAAGGAAUUGGCGGGGGAGCACCACAACAGGUGGAGCCUGCGGUUUAAUUGGACUCAACGCCGGGAAGCUCACCGGAUAGGACAGCAGAAUGAUUGCCGGGCUGAAGACCCUGCAUGACUAGCUGAGAGGAGGUGCAUGGCGUAGACGUCU
rnacentral:rRNA from 1 species